ACCAGGAUGGCCGAGUGGUUAAGGUGUUGGAUUUAAGAUCCAAUGGACAAAUGUCCAUGUGGGUUCAAUCCCCAUUCAUGGUA
rnacentral:tRNA from 1 species